rnacentral:rRNA from 1 species
AGAAUCAACGCUGGCGGCGUGCCUAACACAUGCAAGUCGAACGAGAAAGGGGAGCAAUCCCUGAGUAAAGUGGCGACCGGGUGAGUAACACGUGACUAACCUACCUUCGAGUGGGGGAUAACCUCGGGAAACCGAGGCUAAUACCGCAUAACAUCGUGAGAUCAAAGCAGUAAUGCGCUGGAAGAGGGGGUCGCGGCUGAUUAGCUAGUUGGCGGGGUAAUGGCCCACCAAGGCGAAGAUCGGUAGCCGGCCUGAGAGGGCGCACGGCCACACUGGAACUGAAACACGGUCCAGACUCCUACGGGAGGCAGCAGUGGGAAUUUUGCGCAAUGGGGGAAACCCUGACGCAGCAACGCCGCGUGGAGGAUGAAGUCCCUUGGGACGUAAACUCCUUUCGACCAAGACGAUAAUGACGGUACUGGUGGAAGAAGCACCGGCUAACUCUGUGCCAGCAGCCGC